AGAGAGUUUUCAUCACACAAAGUAUUUUUUGCUAUCUAACCAAAAAUUGCUGUUUUGCUUUUAAGAAAGGGGGAAAAAACACUAAGUUAACCAAACAGUGUCUUAAUUUAUUCAAGAAAGCUUCCUGGAGUUACUUUCUAAGCAAGCAAUAAUUAUAAAUUCAAUAAGAGCACAUCAAACUAUUAAAACAGCCUUUAAAUGACCCAAAAAAUAAAAAGGCAUAACCUUUU
rnacentral:misc_RNA from 1 species